AGUCUGGCUUUAUUGUGUUACACUGUGUUAGCAAUAAAAUGCCUAAAAGCUGUUGUGUUGUUGGCUGCACAGCCAAUGCAAACAAGAACCCAGCAUUAAAGUUUCAUAUGUUGCCAUUAGGUGGGAAAAGACGUUUGCAGUGGCUGAGAGCCAUAAAUAGAAGUGAAAUCAAGUCUGAUGGAUCUGUGAACCAUCAGAGACACUUUAUAAGUGGAGAAAAAGUGAAUGAUCAUACACAUCCUGAUUAUGUGCCCUCAAUCUUUCCAACUUGUGGAUCUAGUCAAAGUAAAUCUGCAAUGAAGUUGUCCAGGUUUGAAAGGAAGUCACAGCGAGUAACAAAGGUUACAAUGGUGCAACCCCUCCAAGGAAGCAUUUGAAAUCUGACCAGGUUAUUGUAUCACCCAGCCAAACACCAAGCCAGCCUUCUCAUAAUCUCCUAGAUGAUUCUAUAAAUAAUGCCUCUGACCCUCCUUUGGAAGUGCUUCCUUCACCCAAGGUUGCCAACAAUGCAGAUCCUCCACAUGUGGAUCCUGAUGCUUCUUUGUCAAGUCCGAUCCAGAAGCCACUUUCAGUGUCUGAACGUGAACAGUACACAGAGGUUCACAACUUGCGCAAAGAAAGGGAUGAAGCCCUUGCAAAGGUAUCUGCUAUGGAGAUGCUGAUGCAGGAAAAAACAUUGUCAUCAAAAUCUCAUCUCAUCUCAUUAUCUCUAGCCGCUUUAUCCUGUUCUACAGGGUCGCAGGCAAGCUGGAGCCUAUCCCAGCUGACUACGGGCGAAAGGCGGGGUACACCCUGGACAAGUCGCCAGGUCAUCACAGGGCUGACACAUAGACACAACCAUUCACACCUACGGUCAAUUUAGAGUCACCAGUUAACCUAACCUGCAUGUCUUUGGACUGUGGGGGAAACCGGAGCACCCGGAGGAAACCCACGCAGACACGGGGAGAACAUGCAAACUCUGCACAGAAAGGCCCUCGCCGGCCACGGGGCUCGAACCCAGACCUUCUUGCUGUGAGGCGACAGCGCUAACCACUACACCACCGUGCCGCCCGUCAUCAAAAUCUGUUGAGGGAAAUGAUCAGAAGUGUCAGAUGAUGACAGGUUUGAAAUGGGGUGUAUUUUUACACUUAUUCACAUUUCUGAGUACAUUCAUUGGUAGCAAAGGAACAACUAAGGAAAGCCUGCCUCUCCGUGAGCAGUUGUUUUUAACACUUGUGAAACUUGGGCACAAUGUUUCAUUUGAUUUUCUGGCCAGACAAAGAAAAUUUUUUUGAUAUAAUUCCUCCUGUCUUUAAACAGAAGUUCCCACGAUUAACAUGUAUUGUGGACUGUUUUGAAAUAUUUAUCGAGGCUCCAAAAACACUUCUUGCUAGGGCUCAAUGUUACAGCAACUACAAAAAGCAUUGUACUGUCAAAUAUUUCAUUGGGUGCACUCCAUUAGGGGCAGUUUCAUUCCUGUCAAAGGCAUGGGGAGGUAGGGCAUUGGAUGUACAAAUUGUACAAGAGUCUGGAUUCAUUGACCGCAAGUACCAUAUGCCUGGUGAUCAGAUUUUAGCAGGCAGGGGGUUCACUUUAGCCGAGGAGUUUGCCAGCCAGUGUAGUUGUGAGUUCCUAACUCCUGCCUUUACUAAAGGAAAGAAGCAGUUGUCUGCUAGAGAUGUAGAAAUUUCUCGUAAAAUUUCAUCUGUACGUAUUCAUGUGGAGAGAGUAAUUGGCCUGAUGAAAAAUCGGUAUUGUAUUCUUAAAGGUACCAUGCCAAUUAGAUGUGUCCAGAGUUUAAAGGAUGAAGCCCAUGGGAGUGCUGUGGCAAGUUGUGACAAAAUUAUCAAAGUAUGUGCUGCCUUGACAAAUAUGGGUGAAGGUAUUGUGUAUCAGGAAUGAAUUAUGUAUCCUUGUUAUUAUACUCCUGAGUUAGUAUAAAGUAAUUGUACCAUAUGUAUAUAUAUUUUUUUUAAAUGUAUGUUUAUCUUGAAUGUGGCAUUGGUAUUUUUCAAUAAAGUACAUAACUAUAGAGAAAGU